UGGGGAAUUUUGGACAAUGGGCGAAAGCCUGAUCCAGCAAUGCCGCGUGCAGGAUGAAGGCCCUCGGGUUGUAAACUGCUUUUGUACGGAACGAAAAGCCUGGGGCUAAUAUCCCCGGGUCAUGACGGUACCGUAAGAAUAAGCACCGGCUAACUACGUGCCAGCAGCCGCGGUAAUACGUAGGGUGCAAGCGUUAAUCGGAAUUACUGGGCGUAAAGCGUGCGCAGGCGGUUUUGUAAGACAGUGGUGAAAUCCCCGGGCUCAACCUGGGAACUGCCAUUGUGACUGCAAAGCUAGAGUGCGGCAGAGGGGGAUGGAAUUCCGCGUGUAGCAGUGAAAUGCGUAGAUAUGCGGAGGAACACCGAUGGCGAAGGCAAUCCCCUGGGCCUGCACUGACGCUCAUGCACGAAAGCGUGGGGAGCAAACAGGAUUAGAUACCCUGGUAGUCCACGCCCUAAACGAUGUCAACUGGUUGUUGGGUCUUAACUGACUCAGUAACGAAGCUAACGCGUGAAGCUGACCGCCUGGGGAGUACGGCCGCAAGGUUGA
rnacentral:rRNA from 1 species